rnacentral:tRNA from 2 species
GCAUCAGUGGUUUAGUGGUAAAAUCCAUCGUUGCCAUGUCGCCGAUUCGAUGGGCCCCGUGUUCGAUUCACGGCUGAUGCA